rnacentral:lncRNA from 1 species
CAUCUGUAAAAUGAGGGCAGAAACAGCUCCGGCCUCCUGGUAUUGUCCAGAGGAUUAACAGAGAAAACGCAGGUGUAGGCUUUAACUCAAAGCCUAGCACUUCACAGGCUUUCAAUAAAUGAUUGAUGACAACAGCAAGCGACACAGGGCUCUGAGCACCAGCACACUGGCCUUCCCCGGGGGUCGCUGGGUGGAUAAGCCGGGUAGCUGCCCCAGAGCAGAGUGCCCACGCCCCCUCCCACUGACCUGGAGGCCCAUCCCCAGUCCCUUGGGUGGUGAGAGGAGAGAGGCCUCUCACGGGAUGUGCAGAGGUGGAGUUGAUCUCUAGGCAUGGAAGGAAACAAAACUUUGGCUUCCUGGGGAUUUCUGACCUGCCCAUCAGGAUGCUGCUUGAGAAAGCUUUUACACCUUUUUAUUGCUGAGUGGGAUCCCAUUGUAUGAAAUAGGACAAUUUGGCCACGUGUUGAUGGACAUUUUGCUGUUUCCGGGAUUGGACUGCUGCUGUUUUCUGAAGUAGCUGUAUCAUCGUGCAUUUCUACGCUCAGUGACAAGAGUUCCAGUUGCUCCACAACUUGACCAACACUCAGCUUGUCAGACUUCUGAUGGGUGUGUAGCGAUGUCUCUUGGGGACUGCAGGGCUCCCAGGCCACAGGAGGACAACAAGUCCAGAGCCCAUGUCAUCAGACUUUCUCAAGUCACAGGCCAAAUUGGAGAGGCCACAUGCCCGAAGCCACCCAGAGGGGUCAAGCAAAGCCAGGACUCCAGGCAGCAAAUCUUCCUUAUGUCCUUCCUGCAUGUGAGGCCCUGAGCAGAGUGCCAGGGAUGAGGAGGAACAGACAGAGCAGCAGCUGCCCUCACCGCCCAGUGGCAGAUGUGAGCAAGUUAUCAACUCUAGCACAACAGGAGAGCCCUUACCUGCAGCUGGGGAGACCGGGGACCUCCUGGCUGAAGUGACCUUUAAGCCAAGGCCUCAAAGCUGAAGAGGAAUGUGUUUUCCCAAGAUAAAUGCAAAGGCUGAGGAUCAAGAAAAAAACAG